rnacentral:lncRNA from 1 species
AUUCUCUUAAAGGUAUCCAGCAGCUGGCAGGAAAACCAGCCAUGGGACCCGGAGAGUUCCCGAGUGGGUGCCAGGAGGCAGCUGUGCAAGCUGGAUGUAACUAAGCCCUCCAUGGGCACUCCGUGACCCAGGGUCUGUCACUCCGUGUCCUGGAGCAUGCUUUCUUCAGAGAGGCCUCCUUCACCUUGCUCAGAACCGGCUUUCCAGGAGGUUCCCACGCCUAGCUGCCCUGGCAGACACCCAGGGAGGAAAGGCAGCGUGGCCUUGGCAGCUGCCUGCCAGUAAGGAGUCCACAGGUGCCAGGGAGAAGCCAUUGCCCUGUCCUGACCCCCUUCGGCAACCCUGGCCCCUGGUGUCUCCUCUGUGCACGCAAGGCCAGGGCCAGCCUCCAGCGCAUGGAAACCCAGACUCCUCAGGACCCGCCUGCAGCCUCCCCACGCUCUCCCUUUCCCCCGCAUCCCAACCUCCUCUUGCAGGGAGGCUGCUGUGCUCCUGUUGCUGGAGUCUUUCCUGCAUUCGGCAUGAACCUGGACAACAGUGCAAGCCCUGGGAGCUGUGGGAAGAAAAGAUGAUUCAGGAAACUAUGAUUGCUUCUCUCCCAGACACCAUUGUGGUUGGCAGGCGGCAGCUGAACGUGCAGAGGACUCAGAGGAGUUCUGUUGAUGGGGACAGGGGACAGGUGUGGCUCUGCCCUCUGUUGGGGCCAGGCAGGUUAUUUUCAGAGACCAGCCAGUAACGCUGGAGAGAGCUGGGAACACCUGCACAGUUGGGCAAAAUCUACCAU